rnacentral:rRNA from 1 species
AGGACGAACGCUGGCGGCGUGCUUAACACAUGCAAGUCGAACGAGGCCCUACCUUCGGGUAGGUGACCUAGUGGCGAACGGGUGAGUAACACGUGGGCAACCUACCCUCAGCUCCUGGGAUAACCCCGGGAAACCGGAGCUAAUACCGGAUAUGACCUGGAACGACAUCGUUCUUGGUGGAAAGUUUUUCGGCUGAGGAUGGGCCCGCGGCCUAUCAGGCUUGUUGGUGGGGUAAUGGCCUACCAAGGCGACGACGGGUA